CCUGGCUCAAAAAGCUCCCCCACUGAGCACCUUGUGGCCCCUACUCCUUCCCGCCAGAGAACAAACCCCCUUUGACUGUAAUUUUCCUUUACCUACCCAAAUCCUAUGAAACAGCCCCACCCUUAUCUCCCUGGGCUGACUCUCUUUUCGGACUCAGCCCGCCUGCACCCAGGUGAAAUAAACAGCCAUGUUGUUCACACAAAGCCUGUUUGGUGGUCUCUUCACACGGACACACGUGAAAGUCAGUCUACUAUGCUAUGGAACACUAGAACUUAUUCUUUCUAUCCAGCUAAUGUUUGUACCCAUUAACCAACCCCUCUUCAUCCCUACAUAUUCCCUCCCCCACACCACACACACACACACCCUUCUCAUUCUCUGGUAACUAUCAUUUAAAUCUUUACCUCAUUGAACUCAAUUCCUUCUUGCACCACCUGCCACGGAAAUUUUGGCGUUUCUACCUAACUUAGUGUACCCUCUUCCCACGAAGAAAUUUCCUUUCCUGCCUUGCUCUUCUAUUUUUGUUUAUUCAUUAAAUACUUACUGAGUUCUUAAUACGUGCCAGGCACUGUGCUAGGUGUUUCAGGUUCAAAGAAUAGGGCCCAGUACCUACUGUCAAUAGCUUACAAACUAGUUGAAAAUGUGUGUGUUUAAUCUAGAUAAGAUACAUUCAAUGUGUCACUUAACAACAGGAACAUAUUCUGAGAAAUGCAUCUUUAGGUGAUUUUGUCAUUGUGCAAACACCAUAGAGCAUACAUCUGCAAACCUUGAUGGUAUAGCCUACUACACGCCUAAGCUAUAUGGUAUGGCCUAUUACUCCCAGGCUACAAACCUGUACUGCAUGUUACUGUACUGAAUACUGCAGACAUCUGUAACACAAUGAUACUUGGACCAUUGACUUAUGCCUGCAUAGACUGUCAACUCCUCUGAGGACACGAAUCCUUUAAAUAACCCAUACGCUCCAGUGUAGUAUACACUUAUUUUUAACUGUUGGGUAUCCUUUAAUAAGUAUUUGUCAAAUUGAAUUGUACUGAAUUUUCAGAUAUUGCAACAGACUUUUAAAAAAUUACAUUGGUUUGAUUGAUAAUUGCCUUUUUAACCACCUCCACCCCCACAAAAAACUACCUCUUCCAGUGAAAGCCUAGGAAAGGCAAGGAGAGCAUUUCUGCUCCUGCUGCUUCCACUUUAACCCCCUCAAUCAGCUGAGGUUGGUGAGUCAUCCACUCCAGAGUGGUAGGCAUUUGUAGCCUGAACACUGUCACAUGUCCCCCAAGGGAGAGGUAUAAUCAGAAGAGCAAUAAUGACUUUCUGCGAGCUGGGAUGAAUGACCUUAUCCCCCAGGUCACCAGGCAAUCAUCUUCUGAAAUCUGCCACAGAUUUAUCACAAUCCUUUCUCUUUCUUUCCACACUGACAUUAUUCCCUCUUCCUUUGCCCCACACACUCCAGCUUGCAUCCAAGGGUUCUCUGAUUGAAUUGUCUGAGGAUGUAAACAGAACUUUCAUAUAUCCCAUCCUUCUCCUGGGUCAGGAGGGAAAGAAGUUGUUCUUGCCAAAAUAUAGGCUUAGUUACCUAUUGGUUUGAACAUUCUCAACACCCUCACCUCCCCAACACAUACACAAGCAUGCCCACAUGCACACACAAAGGGCCAACUGCACACGUUAAUGCCACAUCUUGCUAAUUGUGUUACCCUUGCUGGUUAUUAUUAAGGUCUUUCUUUCAGGAUGGAGAAACCCAGCCACAUAAUGAUCAAGGAGACAAGUGGAGCAUAUCACUGCAGCGACUGUGCAAUGAUAAUGAGUUACAUAAAUCAAAGUUGGGUAAUUUACCUAUCAGACUGAGCAGUGAAUAGGGAUUUUCAGUAACUGUGAUUGUUUGGUGAUAGAUUUUUUAAAAUAACUCUUGUAUGUAGAUGUUCUGGAACUAGAGAUUUGUUCCCCAAAGAGAGGCAGCAGAAUGCUGUGCAGAACAUGGCAUGGCAUGUCAAGAGACUCUUGAGCUAAUUUUAGCUCUGCCACCUUGGGGAAGGAAGCCAUUUCUCUUCUCAGGGCUUCUGAUUCUUCUGUGAAAUAAAAUGAACUUUGCACGCUCUAAAGGUCUCUUUCUAUCGCAGAUUGUAUGUUGUCCACACUUGCUUUGUUCCAGCAAAGUGAAAGGGACUCCUUCCUGCCUUCCACUUUGCAGAGAGAACUGGGCUGGGGUACCAACGAGAGUCAGCCAGUUGUCUGCCCACCCACCGAUGGGGUUCCC
rnacentral:lncRNA from 10 species